rnacentral:misc_RNA from 1 species
UGCAAUCAUUUGUCAGUC